UACGUAGGGCGCAAGCGUUAUCCGGAAUUAUUGGGCGUAAAGAGCUCGUAGGCGGUUUGUCGCGUCUGCCGUGAAAGUCCGGGGCUCAACCCCGGACUUGCAGUGGGUACGGGCAGACUAGAGUGUGGUAGGGGAGACUGGAAUUCCUGGUGUAGCGGUGAAAUGCGCAGAUAUCAGGAGGAACACCGAUGGCGAAGGCAGCCUUCUGGGCCGAACACUGACGCUCAUGCACGAAAGCGUGGGGAGCAAACAGG
rnacentral:rRNA from 1 species